UGGGACAGAGAGCAGGGCAGAACAGGAGGAGGAUUGAGGACCUAACAAAGCUACCCGGGGACUCUUACUUCUCAAUGGCUGGACUAUAUGGGUGCUCAGCUCCUGACAUGCACAGUCUCAGACUCAAUUCGACAUCAAUUCAGCUGCUUUGCUACCUCCUGCUGUGUCCUGUGGGUGCCGAAGGGUGUCUCUACGAUGCUCCCUCCCUCGCAGUUGGGAUCACAGCCGCCUACCUCAGACCCGUUGUCCUGCCAGGCGCUGCUCCCAAGGUCCCUGCCUGGCUUCACUCACAUGCCUCCUCUCUCCAAAUUCCUGGUAGGCCUGGCUCUAAGGAAUGCUCUGGAGGAAGCUGGCUGCUGGGCUGAUGUCUGGGCUCUUCAGCUUCAGCUUUACCGAUUCGGAGGUGUGGAGGCUACACAGGCCCUCAUCCGCCAUCUUCAAGAGCUCCAGAAAGGUGGACGUGCAGACUGGAAAGUGUCCGUGAAUGCUCUGUCCUCUGCCCUACAGCUCUUAGCCUGGGAGCAGGCAGGUCCAAAGAGGGUCAAACGUUCGCUUUCUAACAUGGGCUGUGAGAAUGAGCAGGAACAGAGAGUGCACAAUGUGGUUGAGCUGCUGCCAGCAGUGGGCACCUACUACAACCUAGGCACAGCCUUGUAUUACGCCAUUAAGAACUGCACUGACAAGGCCAAGGAACGAGGCCGAGAUGGGGCCAUAGACCUGGGUUAUGAUCUUUUGAUGACCAUGGUGGGUAUGUCAGGGGGGCCAACUGGUGCAGUGAUCACUGCUGCUCUUAAGCCAGCGCUGAAGGCUGGGGUUCAGCGGCUGAUCCGAUAUUAUCAUGACGAGGAAGGGGUGACCACCUCUCAGCCAGAGACCCGGAAGGAUGCCCCCACAUAUAGAGAUGACGUGGAAGAAACAACCAUGUCCAAUUUGGUGUCAGAAGUUGAAAGUACAACUUCUAACUGGGGGAGGCCUUUAUUAAAGAACUAUGUUUUUUUGGCAUACAAGAGAUAGUAACAGAACAACAAAUAAGUGGAAAAUUCUGAUAAGAGGAGGAGUGUGGAUGGAUGGGUGGAUGGUUUGGGGUGCUGUCACCACUUGCCAGUAAUUUCCUUCUUGAAACUUAGCUUUUACACUCUAAUGUGGCCAACUUUCGCCUGAACAAGUGGUUAUAGAAAUUAAAAAGUGAUAUCAUGAA